GGCGGAGGGCCAGCGGUGCCCCGGGGCGCCUCGAGGGGUCCCCGGGGGGCCCGAGUGUGGGGGCGCGGCGCAGGGCGAAAGGGUCACCGGUGCGAUAAGUGGCAAGUACGCAUGACUGGACAUCUUCAGAAAUGUGGCUGGGUCCCAUUCAUCUGCAUUAAAAUUACUUCCACCUUGAGUGACAACUUCAGACCUUUGGCAAAGCCCAAUAAAACUGGAAAAAAUUUCCGUUAGGCUGGCUUGUAAGGCAGUUUAAAAUUUGAGAAAUUUGAUACCUAGUCUCUGUUCUGCCACAGACUUCUUGUGAAAGGGGACGAGACAUGUAUGUCCAGAUGCUUGAAGUAUUUGAUUGACUAGCCCUCACUUAAACUAUGAGCACUUAAGCACCUUUGUGGCUCCUAGUCUUGCCUUUCAGUACUUUAGUAUCUGAGAAAGGUCAGGAGAAGCAUAAACUUUUAAAGUGUUUCAUUGUUUUUGGAAACAGCACAGUAAAUGGAAGUUGCCUAAAAUCCUUUCUUGCACCCAGCAAAAACUCUUGGAUAUCUUUUCUGAAGUUCAUUUUUUCAUCUGCAUUUUCUUUUUAUAUAGAGUUCUAAUGCCUAAUAGAGAUCAGAAGUGUACCUAACUGGCCCAAGUGCAGUACUUAUUCAAUAUCAGUAUUAGAUAAUUAGUGUAUAGAUUAGAGGCAAUAUCAGAAUUUUCAAAACACCUCAGUUCUGUCUAGAUGCAGUGUUUGGAUAUGAACUGUUGUGAUUCCUGUGGCACUGAUCCUGUAAAACACCGUGUAUGUACUCAGCCUACGCCACCUGCAGAGUCUUACUGCCUGCAAAGACUUGUGCAUGUGUGCCUGAUUUUAAGCUCUUGUCUUGUUCCAUUUUGAGUUAAAUGUGUACGAGUUCUGCGGAGUAAAAGCCUCUCUUUGUACAAGCUGGCUUCUUGGUGAACAUAUCCACAUUCUUGCAAGUUCUCCUUGUAAACUUACUUCUUAAAAGAAAGUAUUGCAAAAAAUAA